rnacentral:ncRNA from 1 species
GGCAGAAGAAAAUAUUCAAAUUAGAACUUUGAAGAGUGAAGUGGGGAAAUGUUCCAUGUGAACAUCACUUGGACAUGGCUGGUUAGUCAAUCCUAAGAGAUGUGGAAUCCUUAUAUCAAGGGUGCACUCUGCAUGAACAUCGAAAGGGAAUUGGGUUGAUAUUCCUGAACUGAGACAUGAUGGUGGGCGACAAUGUUAGGAAAUCUGGAGAUGUCAUCUGGGGCCUGGGAAGAGUUAUAUUUUCUUUUUAAUGAAUUUCCCACAUUGAAAUCGGUUCAACUGGAGAUAGGGUCCAACAUAUGGAAGAUCACCACACGUCUUGUGUUUUUUGGUGCCCCCUUGAUGACCAUUGAAAAUAUGGAGAACCAAGUACCAUCCAUGCCCGAUCGUACUCAUAUCUGCCUCCUUGGAUUUUUCAAUGCCC